rnacentral:rRNA from 1 species
GUGGGGAAUAUUGCACAAUGGGCGAAAGCCUGAUCCAGCAAUGCCGCGUGCAGGAUGAUGGCCCUCGGGUUGUAAACUGCUUUUGUACGGAACGAAAAGCCUGGGGCUAAUAUCCCCGGGUCAUGACGGUACCGUAAGAAUAAGCACCGGCUAACUACGUGCCAGCAGCCGCGGUAAUACGUAGGGUGCAAGCGUUAAUCGGAAUUACUGGGCGUAAAGCGUGCGCAGGCGGUUUUGUAAGACAGUGGUGAAAUCCCCGGGCUCAACCUGGGAACUGCCAUUGUGACUGCAAGGCUAGAGUGCGGCAGAGGGGGAUGGAAUUCCGCGUGUAGCAGUGAAAUGCGUAGAUAUGCGGAGGAACACCGAUGGCGAAGGCAAUCCCCUGGGCCUGCACUGACGCUCAUGCACGAAAGCGUGGGGAGCAAACAGGAUUAGAUACCCUUGUAGUCC